UACGAACUGUGCAAACGUUAUUCGGAAUCACUGGGCUUACAGAGUGCGUAGGCGGCCUGUCAAGUAGGGUGUGAAAGCCCCCGGCUCAACCGGGGAAUUGCGCCCUAAACUGUCGGGCUGGAGUGAGAUAGGGGUGUGUGGAACUUCCGGUGGAGCGGUGAAAUGUGUUGAUAUCGGAAGGAACGCCGGUGGCGAAAGCGACACACUGGAUCUUGUCUGACGCUGAGGCACGAAAGCCAGGGGAGCGAACGGG
rnacentral:rRNA from 1 species